UACGUAGGGGGCAAGCGUUGUCCGGAAUCAUUGGGCGUAAAGAGCGUGUAGGCGGCUCGGUAAGUCCGCUGUGAAAGUCCAGGGCUCAACCCUGGAAUGCCGGUGGAAACUGUCGAGCUAGAGUCCGGAAGAGGCGAGUGGAAUUCCUGGUGUAGCGGUGAAAUGCGCAGAUAUCAGGAGGAACACCGGUGGCGAAGGCGGAUCUCUGGGCCAUUACUGACGCUGAGGAGCGAAAGCGUGGGGAGCGAACAGG
rnacentral:rRNA from 1 species